GAUGAACGCUAGCGGCAGGCCUAAUACAUGCAAGUCGAACGGCAGCACGGGAGCAAUCCUGGUGGCGAGUGGCGAACGGGUGAGUAAUAUAUCGGAACGUGCCCAGUCGUGGGGAGUAACGUAGCGAAGACUACGCUAAUACCGCAUACGAUCUAUGGAUGAAAGACGGGGGAGUCGCAAGACCUCGCGCGAUUGGAGCGGCCGAUAUCAGAUUAGGUAGUUGGUGGGGUAAAAGGACCUACCAAGCCUUCGAUCUGUAGCUGGUCUGAGAGGACGACCAGCCACACUGGAACUGAGACACGGUCCAGACUCCUACGGGAGGCAGCAGUGGGGAAGUUUUGGACAAUGGGCGCAAGCCUGAUCCAGCAAUGCCGCGUGCAGGAUGAAGGCCUCGGUU
rnacentral:rRNA from 1 species